AUUGAACGCUGGCGGCAUGCUUUACACAUGCAAGCCGAACGGUAACAGGCCGCAAGGUGCUGACGAGUGGCGAACGGGUGAGUAACGCAUCGGAACGUGCCCAGUCGUGGGGGAUAACUGCUCGAAAGAGCAGCUAAUACCGCAUACGAUCCAUGGAUGAAAGCGGGGGACCGUAAGGCCUCGCGCGAUUGGAGCGGCAGAUGUCAGAUUAGGUAGUUGGUGGGGUAAAGGCUCACCAAGCCAACGAUCUGUAGCUGGUCUGAGAGGACGACCAGCCACACUGGGACUGAGACACGGCCCAGACUCCUACGGGAGGCAGCAGUGGGGAAUUUUGGACAAUGAGGGCAACCCUGAUCCAGCAAUGCCGCGUGCAGGAAGAAGGCCUUCGGGUUGUAAACUGCUUUUGUACGGAACGAAACGGUCUGGGUUAAUACCCUGGGCUAAUGACGGUACCGUAAGAAUAAGCACCGGCUAACUACGUGCCAGCAGCCGCCGUAAAAC
rnacentral:rRNA from 1 species